rnacentral:rRNA from 1 species
AUUGAACGCUGGCGGCAGGCUUAACACAUGCAAGUCGAGCGGUAACAGAGAUAGCUUGCUAUCUGCUGACGAGCGGCGGACGGGUGAGUAAUGCUUGGGAAUAUGCCUUAUGGUGGGGGACAACAGUUGGAAACGACUGCUAAUACCGCAUAACGUCUACGGACCAAAGGGGGGGAUGCUUUUGCACCUCCCGCCAUUUGAUUAGCCCAAGUGAGAUUAGCUAGUAGGUGAGGUAAGAGCUCACCUAGGCGACGAUCUCUAGCUGGUUUGAGAGGAUGAUCAGCCACACUGGGACUGAGACACGGCCCAGACUCCUACGGGAGGCAGCAGUGGGGAAUAUUGCACAAUGGGCGAAAGCCUGAUGCAGCCAUGCCGCGUGUGUGAAGAAGGCCUUCGGGUUGUAAAGCACUUUCAGCGAGGAGGAAAGGUUAGUGGUUAAUAGCCACUAGCUGUGACGUUACUCGCAGAAGAAGCACCGGCUAACUUCGUGCCAGCAGCCGCGGUAAUACGAGGGGUGCAAGCGUUAAUCGGAAUUACUGGGCGUAAAGCGUGCGUAGGUGGUUUGUUAAGCAAGAUGUGAAAGCCCUGGGCUCAACCUGGGAACUGCAUUUUGAACUGGCAAGCUAGAGUUUUGUAGAGGGUAGUGGAAUUUCCAGUGUAGCGGUGAAAUGCGUAGAGAUUGGAAGGAACAUCAGUGGCGAAGGCGGCUACCUGGACAAAGACUGACACUGAGGCACGAAAGCGUGAGGAGCAAACAGGAUUAGAUACCCUGGUAGUCCACGCCGUAAACGAUGUCAACUAGCCGUCUGUAGACUUGAUCUGUGGGUGGCGUAGCUAACGCGCUAAGUUGACCGCCUGGGGAGUACGGCCGCAAGGUUAAAACUCAAAUGAAUUGACGGGGGCCCGCACAAGCGGUGGAGCAUGUGGUUUAAUUCGAUGCAACGCGAAGAACCUUACCAUCCCUUGACAUCCAGAGAAGAGACUAGAGAUAGACUUG